GCUUCUCUCGAGGAAGUUCUUCGCUGUGAGGCAUACAUCUUAUUCUACGAGAAAGUUUGAGGUGGAUAUAUUUUUUUUUUUUUCUUUUUUUCUUUUUUCAUACAUUUGAUAUUUAUUACAGUUGGGGGGUGAAGUGAGCUCCCCAAAAAGACGAGGCAGAGGAAAAAGAGAAAAGGAAAAACAAAAGAAGCUGAGAUGAUGACUUAUACAUCUUUGGCAGAUAAGUAUCUAUCAGAAAAUUUGCCAAUCCAAGUUGUUUGAUAGGAUUUUCAAUCCCCUUUUCUGGAUGAACAUGAACCUGAACCUGAACACGAUGAAUUUAUUUUCAACUUAGUAUA